rnacentral:rRNA from 1 species
UACAGAGGGUUCAAGCGUUAAUCGGAAUUACUGGGCGUAAAGCGUGCGUAGACGGUUAUGUAAGUCGGGUGUGAAAGCCCCGGGCUCAACCUGGGAAUGCCAUUCGAGACUGCAUAGCUAGGGUGCGGAAGAGGGAAGCGGAAUUUCCGGUGUAGCGGUGAAAUGCGUAGAUAUCGGAAGGAACACCAGUGGCGAAAGCGGCUUCCUGGUCCAGCACCGACGUUCAGGCACGAAAGCGUGGGGAGCAAACAGG